UUUGGCAACUUGUCAAAAAUGCCUCCUGGGA
rnacentral:piRNA from 1 species